GACGUAGGGGGCGAGCGUUGCCCGGAUUCACUGGGCGUAAAGCGCGCGUAGGCGGUUCGGCAAGUCGCCCGUGAAAGCCCCUGGCUCAACUGGGGGAGGUCGGGCGAUACUGCCGGGCUAGAGGGCGGCAGAGGGAGGUGGAACGGCCGGAGUAGCGGUGAAAUGCGUAGAUACCGGCCGGAAUCCCGAUGGCGAAGGCAACCUCCUGGGCCGUUCCUGACGCUGAGGCGCGAAAGCUGGGGGAGCGAACCGGAUUAGAUACCCGGGUAGUCCCAGCCCUAAACGAUGCGGGCUAGGUGUCGGCCCGUCACUGGGUCGGUGCCGCAGCUAACGCGUUAAGCCCGCCGCCUGGGGAGUACGGUCGCAAGGCUGAAACUCAAGGGAAUUGACGGGGGCCCGCACAAGCGGCGGAGCAUGUGGUUUAAUUCGAUGCUAAGCGAAGAACCUUACCCGGGCUUGACAUGCGGGUGGUACCGACCCGAAAGGGAAGGGACCCAGGGCCUUAGGGCGCCUGGGAGCCCGCACAGGUGCUGCAUGGCUGUCGUCAGCUCGUGUCGUGGGACGUCGGGUUAAGUCCCAGAACGAGCGCAACCCCUGCCGCCAGUUACCAGCGGACCCCUUCGGGGGUGCCGGGGACUCUGGCGGGACUGCCGGCGUCCAAGUCGGAGGAAGGGGGGGAUGACGUCAAGUCAUCAUGGCCCUUAUGCCCGGGGCUACACACAUGCUACAGUGCCCGGUACAAAGGGACGCGAACCCGCGAGGGGGAGCCAAUCCCAAAAAGCCGGGCAUGGUUCGGAUUGCAGGCUGCAACCCGCCUGCAUGAAGUGGGAGUCGCUAGUAAUCGCGGGUCAGCUACACCGCGGUGAAUACGUACUCGGGCC
rnacentral:rRNA from 1 species